rnacentral:rRNA from 1 species
AUGCACGUUGGUUCCAACCCCACCUCAGAUACCAGGAACUCGGACAUGCUCUGCAGCGUACCACCUGAAGGUAUUCUUCAGGUAGUCCACUUUGGCGGCAAUCUUCUCCUUGCUUUGGAAUGCGACAGCAUGUAGCGCUUUUCUGAACAUCCCAGAGCCACGGGGCACACCUAUACCUUUGGCGCAUGCCACCAUGGCUCGGACGCGAUCCGGGUUGGUGAUGAGCAUCCUAGGCACAUGGAUACACAGCUUGGCAAUAUCACAAUUACCUAG